GGCGGAGUAGCUCAGUUGGUCAGAGCAGCGGAAUCAUAAUUCGCGUGGCGGGGGUUCAAAUCCCUCCUCCGCUA
rfam:Candidatus Endolissoclinum faulkneri L5, complete genome.